rnacentral:rRNA from 1 species
CCUACGGGUGGCAGCAGUAGGGAAUAUUGCUCAAUGGGGGAAACCCUGAAGCAGCAACGCCGCGUGGAGGAUGAAGGUUUUCGGAUUGUAAAUUCCUUUUGGUAGAGAAGAUAAUGACGGUAUCUAACGAAUAAGCACCGGCUAACUCCGUGCCAGCAGCCGCGGUAAUACGGAGGGUGCAAGCGUUACUCGGAAUCACUGGGCGUAAAGAGCGCGGAGGCGGGAUAGCAAGUCAGAUGUGAAAUCCUAGGGCUUAACCAUAGAACUGCAUUUGAAACUGUUAUUCUAGAGUAUGGGAGAGGUAGGUGGAAUUCUUGGUGUAGGAGUAAAAUCCGUAGAGAUCGAGAGGAAUACUCAUUGCGAAGGCGACCUGCUAGAACAUAACUGACGCUGAUGCGCGAAAGCGUGGGGAGCAAACGGGAUUAGAUACCCUGGUAGUC